GACAGAGGGUGCAAACGUUGUUCGGAAUUACUGGGCGUAAAGCGCGUGUAGGCGGCCCGGAAAGUCGGAUGUGAAAGCCCUGGGCUUAACCUAGGAAGUGCAUUCGAAACUGCCGGGCUUGAGUUCUGGAGAGGAAGGCGGAAUUCUCGGUGUAGAGGUGAAAUUCGUAGAUAUCGAGAGGAACACCGGUGGCGAAGGCGGCCUUCUGGACAGUGACGUGACGCUGAGACGCGAAAGCGUGGGGAGCAAACAGG
rnacentral:rRNA from 1 species